GGUUAGAAAGAUAGUGGGAGUUUGGAGAGAGUUUUAUUUGACUGGUGUUUUAAAUUUAGUGGUCCAUAUUAGAUAAUCAAUAACUUAGGUACUCCCUAGUAACUUAUGAAACCUCGUAAUGGAUGCUUGAAUUAUGAUUUUAUAAUUUGUAAUAUUGUUUUGCAUAUGAUUUUUGAAUGAAAUGUAUUAUAUUUAAAUUUUCAA